GACGAACCGUGCGAACGUUAUUCGGAAUCACUGGGCUUAAAGCGCGUGUAGGCGGGUGGGAGCGUCGGCCACUGAAAGCCCCCGGCUCAACCGUGGAACUGCUUGGUAUACUGGGUGUCUUGAGCCAUCUAGGGGCUACCGGAACAAAUGGUGGAGCGGUGAAAUGCGUAGAUAUCAUUUGGAACGCCAAUGGUGAAAACAGGUAGCUGGGGAUGUGCUGACGCUGAGACACGAAAGCCAGGGGAGCAAACGGG
rnacentral:rRNA from 1 species